UUACUACUCCCUCCGUUCGGAAUUACUUGUCUCGGAAAUGGAUGUAUCUAGAACUAAAAUACGUCUACAUACAUCCAUUUCUGCGACAAGUAAUUCCGAACGGAGGGAGUAUAUG
rnacentral:pre_miRNA from 1 species